CGAGAUUUCCCUGUGACCUGGAC
rnacentral:piRNA from 1 species